rnacentral:rRNA from 1 species
UGCAGUCGACGGACGAGGGGAGCUUGCUCCCCAAGUUAGUGGCGAACGGGUGAGUAACGCGUGAGGAACCUGCCUUUCAGUGGGGGACAACAGUUGGAAACGACUGCUAAUACCGCAUAACAUAUCGAAGGGGCAUCCCUUUGAUAUCAAAGCUUUAUGUGCUGAAAGAUGGUCUCGCGUCUGAUUAGAUAGUUGGUGAGGUAACGGCUCACCAAGUCGACGAUCAGUAGCCGGUCUGAGAGGAUGAACGGCCACAUUGGGACUGAGAUACGGCCCAGACUCCUACGGGAGGCAGCAGUGGGGAAUAUUGGGCAAUGGGGGAAACCCUGACCCAGCAACGCCGCGUGAAGGAAGAAGGCUUUCGGGUUGUAAACUUCUUUUAGCAGGGACGAAGGACGUGACGGUACCUGCAGAAAAAGCAACGGCUAACUACGUGCCAGCAGCCGCGGUAAUACGUAGGUUGCAAGCGUUGUCCGGAUUUACUGGGUGUAAAGGGCGUGUAGGCGGAGCUGCAAGUCAGAUGUGAAAUCCCGGGGCUCAACCCCGGAACUGCAUUUGAAACUGUAGCCCUUGAGUAUCGGAGAGGCAAGCGGAAUUCCUAGUGUAGCGGUGAAAUGCGUAGAUAUUAGGAGGAACACCAGUGGCGAAGGCGGCUUGCUGGACGACAACUGACGCUGAGGCGCGAAAGCGUGGGGAGCAAACAGGAUUAGAUACCCUGGUAGUCCACGCUGUAAACGAUGAAUACUAGGUGUGGGAGGACUGACCCCCUUCCGUGCCGCAGUUAACACAAUAAGUAUUCCACCUGGGGAGUACGACCGCAAGGUUGAAACUCAAAGGAAUUGACGGGGGCCCGCACAAGCAGUGGAUUAUGUGGUUUAAUUCGACGCAACGCGAAGAACCUUACCAGGACUUGACAUCCAACUAACGAAGUAGAGAUACAUUAGUGCCCUUCGGGGAAAGUUGAGACAGUGGUGCAUGGGUGUCGUCAGCUC